UUGGAGGGCAAGUUUGGUGCCAGCAGCCGCGGUAAUUCCAGCUCCAAUAGCGUAUAUUAAAGUUGUUGCAGUUAAAAAGCUCGUAGUUGAAUUUCGGGAUCAAUAUGUCGGUCGUGCUUCGGUACGUACUGUCAUAAUUGGUUUCUCCCUUCUGAAGAACCUUGAUGUCAUUAAUUUGGUGUCUUGGGGAAUCCGGACUGGUACUUUUAAAAAAUUAAAAUGGUUAAAGCAAG
rnacentral:rRNA from 1 species